rnacentral:rRNA from 1 species
AAACUGUUUUUCUUGAGUAGUGCAGAGGUAGGCGGAAUUCCCGGUGUAGCGGUGGAAUGCGUAGAUAUCGGGAGGAACACCAGUGGCGAAGGCGGCCUACUGGGCACCAACUGACGCUGAGGCUCGAAAGUGUGGGUAGCAAACAGGAUUAGAUACCCUGGUAGUCCACACCGUAAACGAUGAUUACUAGGUGUUGGAGGAUUGACCCCUUCAGUGCCGCAGUUAACACAAUAAGUAAUCCACCUGGGGAGUACGACCGCAAGGUUGAAACUCAAAGGAAUUGACGGGGGCCCGCACAAGCAGUGGAGUAUGUGGUUUAAUUCGACGCAACGCGAAGAACCUUACCAAGUCUUGACAUCCCUUGACGAUGCUGGAAACAGCAUUUCUCUUCGGAGCAAGGAGACAGGUGGUGCAUGGUUGUCGUCAGCUCGUGUCGUGAGAUGUUGGGUUAAGUCCCGCAACGAGCGCAACCCUUAUGGUCAGUUACUACGCAAGAGGACUCUGGCCAGACUGCCGUUGACAAAACGGAGGAAGGUGGGGAUGACGUCAAAUCAUCAUGCCCUUUAUGACUUGGGCUACACACGUACUACAAUGGCGUUAAACAAAGAGAAGCAAGACCGCGAGGUGGAGCAAAACUCAGAAACAACGUCCCAGUUCGGACUGCAGGCUGCAACUCGCCUGCACGAAGUCGGAAUUGCUAGUAAUCGUGGAUCAGCAUGCCACGGUGAAUACGUUCCCGGGCCUUGUACACACCGCCCGUCACACCAUGAGAGCCGGGGGGACCCGAAGUCGGUAGUCUAACCGCAAGGAGGACGCCGCCGAAGGUAAAACUGGUGAUUGGGGUGAAGUCGUAACAAGGUAGCCGUAGGAGAACCUGCGGCUG